rnacentral:rRNA from 1 species
AUACGGAAGGUCCGGGCGUUAUCCGGAUUUAUUGGGUUUAAGGGGAGCGCAGGCGGAGAUGCAAGCGUGACGUCAAAUUUCGGGGCUCAACCCCGUCUCGCGUCGCGAACUGCGUCCCUUGGUUGCGGGAAGGGGAGGCGGAACUCGUGGUGUAGCGGUGAAAUGCAUAGAUAUCACGAAGAACUCCGAUCGCGAAGGCAGCCUUCCGGCCCGUCAACGACGCUCAUGCUCGAAGGUGCGGGUAUCAAACAGGAUUAGAUACCCUGGUAGUCCGCACAGUAAACGAUGGACACCCGCGGUUUGGCCUAUAUGGCUGAGCCGCCGAGCGAAAGCGUUAAGUGUCCCACCUGGGGAGUACGCCGGCAACGGUGAAACUCAAAGGAAUUGACGGGG